CUCAAACAAAAAUUGACAUGCUGUUUCCAGAAAAGAGAAAAAUGAAAACAAAGGAGACGAAACUCUUUCGUAAUCAACUCCAUAUAGCAAGAUACAUUUUGAAAAGGGAAGGGAUCAAGGGAAAAUGCAAAAAGAGUCCCAUCUCUCACAUAUAGAAAAACAGACAAAAGUUGGAGAACUGCAGACCUCUGAACAACGAGCCUUAGGGUAUAAUCGAACUCUGCUGGAGAGCCUCUAGCCUACUAAAGAUUCUUCUGGCUGCUCAAUCUAUGGUGUUUGGAUUUAUUUUGGAUUUAUUUGUUCUUAGAUUUUUCAACCUAUAUUAGCAUGUAAUGCACAAGUUGCCAAGGAUGUUAUCAACAAUAAAAUUUGCAGAAUAAUCCA
ensembl:lncRNA